rnacentral:lncRNA from 1 species
GCAAACGGUUGAAGCUUUACUUGAAUCAGGAUACUCUCUUGUCAAAGAACAAAAGUUGAUUAUGGAUAGCAAACUUUCAAAAGAAUACAUGAAGAACAUGGAUGAAUAGUACGUGACUAUAUGCUUUAUAAAGGCUUGAGGUUAUUUUGUGUACAUCAUUGACUGAACAAACCGUAAGACAUUAUCCGUAAAGGAAUCGCGAAAGGUGAAUUUAAGUUUAUUUUUUCUAUUCUUUUUAUUUCUUUUUUGCAAAAGAGCUGAAUACUUUCCUCUCUAUAGUACUGACUCGUAAUACUGAGGUCCCAAAAUCAGGACACUCCAGAAAUUCUUUUUUGAGAAAAAAGGAUGAGAACUCCCUCUUAUUGUUUAAGUAAAUGAUUUGAAGUCGUUGGCUGAAAGGAGCCUUGGAG